UGAGCCACCUGUGUGGCGGCGGACAAGCUGGUGGGCCUGUGUCCUAGGAUGGCUGGGCCCAGCGGUUUUUUCUGUUUUUUGUUUGUUUUUUUUCUUUUAUUCCUUUUUUAAAACGAAAACCCCAAAAAUGUAAACAUAGGUAGGGCAUUAACUACAUAUUUUAAAUGCCCCCGUAUCUUUGUUAUCUAACACUUCCGGAAUGGGAGAACUCGCUGGCCAAAGCAGAUGGUUGGAAAGUACGUAGGUUUCUGCGUCUGCGGUCUGAACCCAGACUGGCGUCUUCAGUCUACCUCCAAAGCUGGAGGAUUCUGGGUAUGAAUUUGGUAAUCCCCAAAAACUAAGUACGUGGGUCUUUGGAGAAAGGACACAGCUGUUGUUUAAAUAGUUAACCGCGUGGCAAUAAGACAUGUAGUUAGAAGUACUCCAAAGAUCCUGCAAAUUCAGCAGUUAUUUCUUUAGAGAUAACUUUGAUUCCUCAAAAAAAGAAGGAAAGACAAAUUCACAUUUUUUGCAAGAAAUAAUGAGUGUUCUUCUUUCUUAAAGCUUCCCUUCUGUUCUCCACCCACUUACCCCAAGAAAACCGCUCAAACUUCUGUGGAACGAUUAAAAGUCUUCAGACUUUAAGGACCAGCGGUAGUCCUUCAACAGGUCCGCCAAGUCCCUCCCCCAGAGCGUGCGGGCAGCGGGGCGGAGCCGUAGGUCCUUUGACCUCGGCCGCAGGAAGCAAGCGAGUGUUGGCCCGAGAAGAGAUUCCCGAGUCUUCAAAUGGAUUUUAAGAUUGAACACACUUGGGAUGGUUUUCCAGUGAAGCAUGAGCCAGUGUUUGUCAGGCUGAAUCCAGGUGAUAGAGGAGUGAUGAUGGAAGUUAGCGCUCCAUUUUUCAAUGAUCCUCCAGCCCCACUAGGAGAACCAGGAAAGCCUUUCAAUAAACUGUGGGAUUAUGAAGUUGUGGAAGCAUUUUUCUUGAAUGACAUAACUGAACAGUAUUUAGAAGUUGAACUUUGUCCCCAUGGACAGCAUUUGGUGCUUUUACUCUCUGGAAAAAGAAAUGUGUGGAAACAAGAACUUGAUCUAUCAUUCAAAGCGUCCAGAGAAGAGACAAAAUGGGAAGGUAGAGCUUAUCUUCCUUGGAGUUAUUUUCCACCGAAUGUGACAAAAUUCAAUUCAUUUGCAAUUCAUGGAUCAAAAGAUAAAAGAAGCUAUGAAGCUCUUUACCCUAUACUUCCACAUGAGCUGCAGCAAGGACAAAAACCUGAUUUCCAUCAUCUGGAAUACUUCAAGCCUUUCAAUUUUAACACACUGCUUGGAGAAGAGUGGAAACAACCAGAGUCAGACCUGUGGCUAAUAGAGAAACCUGAUGUGUAGGACUAUAGUAGAUGACCAUAUCAAUCAUUUCUUCUCUGUACCUUUUAAGGACUGAAAUUUUCAAAAGUAACUAAGAAAGAAAACAACUGCCAGCUGGAAGAGGAGAGUUGGAAUAUAGAAUUAUCACAACAUGGCACAGUUUACCAGGUGCUGCACAGCUCUGUGACUCUCAAGUUUGAUUCUGGGGUCCAAGGCUUACUGAUGAGAGUGAAUGAUCCUUUCUUUGAUGAUCCCCAGCACUACCAGGCGAAGCAGGACUGCCUUUUGAUGGAGUAUGAAGAGUUUCCAAAUACCUCAGGCUACUCAUCCCACGUAUCUGAAAAUGCAAUGACAUGGAAAGAUGAGGUCAAAAACUGUGUGACCUGGAACUGAGAUUUUUGGAAUGAACAGUCUAUAUCUGUUGUUGAAUCAUUUUUGUUCGAACAGCAAGACUAAACAGCACCUGGAGGUGGAACUCUUCCCUGAAAGAAAUACAACUCAAGGAAAUUUGAUCAGAAAGAAAGAAUUGUUGGCUCAGAUACUUCAGAAGAUCAGAGGUGAACUAGCUGGCCUACUUCAGUUUGCCUCAAUCCAAAGAUUAGAGGCACAGACAGCACUUGAUCCUACUGCUCUCCAACAGGGAUUCAUUUACAGUGAGUACUAUACAUCUUUACUCAGUCAAAUCAACCUUUGUUUUACAGUGACCAUAUUUUAAAAUGCAGGUUGACAUGAUUUUGGACAUUUGAAUAUUUACAUACUUGUUUAACCUUUAUUUUCUUCUCAAAGUUCAAGGAAAAGGAAGCAAAUAAAAGGGUUCAAGGGCUUGAGUAGGGCUGAAGUGCAUGAGGCCAAUAUAUAUACAUUUGAUGUAUCACCGGUAUGGCUGGUUUAUGGGCGGAUUAUUAAUAUUGCUUGUUGUUUUACGUGUGCUCUUGCACAUUGGAUUUAAUAAUGAUAACUACAAUUCUGGGAUUAAAGUUUCUCCUCAGUUCUCUAAAAAGGAGCAGCAGAGAAUACUGUGUAUUUAGUUGGAAAAUCUUUAAAAUACCAAGGACACUUUCAACAAUGAGGAAGGAGAAAUUUUUUUUAAAGUGAAAAAACUUCAAAAUAACUGAAAAGUACAGAAAAUAAUGACACCCACCACUGAGAUUUAACAUUCCCCACCUAGAUUUAACAGAUAUUAAAAAAUAAAUCCUUAUAGACACAG